AAAGGGAAAUAUUCCCUCACUCACACACACACAUUGAGCCUCAUUCUCUGCACAGAAAUUCCUGAAAACACAUCAGAAUUGAAAACCCUAAGAAAUACACUCUAAAAGUUCAGUUGUCUUAUCUUCUUUUGAUUUUUGGUAAAAAUUGAAGAACUUCUUUGAAGAUUUCUGGUUUUUUAUCAGUAGAAAAUGGUUUGAAGUUUAAAAUUCUUCUUCUGGGACUUUUGGCUACUAUUUCAUUGCAGAAGCUCUUUGGUUCUUUCCUCCUUGACCUUUAUUUGGUCAUUGCUCUGUUUGUGUUUUCAAUUUCAAGGUAUGUAACAACGUUUAUCUUAAAUAGAAUUAACUUUGAGUUUGAAAUUUGUGUUUGAAACCUGUUUUCAUUUGGCUGAAUUUUGCUAUUAGUUUUAGCAUCCUUGACUUGUUGAAUUUAGAGUUAAUUAAUGUCCAUAAACCCUGUGUUGAUAUUACUUUAAAUAGCUGCUGCAUUUGUUCAUGAAAUCUGAAAUGACUGUGCUGCAUAUGUCAAUGUUGGGUGGCUGAAUCAAUAUGUCUAUAUACUAUAAAACUAUGUUCAAAAUUACUCUUUUGAUAGCAGCACUAAAGGAAAUGAAUCUAACCCUUUAAAUGGUCAGAUUCACUCCUUAAAUAGUGCAUAAGAUUCUGGACUCCUCUAGCAUAUGUCUAAGUUGUUUCCCUUCCCCCCUUUCUUUUUUCUUUACUAAGAAGAGAACUUGGAGUAGGAUUAUGGUUUGGAAGUCUUUGUUCGUUUAUGGGGCUGACCUUAAAACAUGGUCAGAUUUAUGAACAAUAUUGCUUUUCCUUUUACUCGUUUUUUUGCAUUAGGUUAGUUAAGAUUGAUUUGAUAAUACUGUAGGUUUUUACAUUUGAAGAAAUUUUUUAAGGCUGACCUUUUCACAUGGUCAGAUUCAUGAAAGUCUAGGCUGAAAUAGAAGCCUGAUGAGCAGUAGGAAGCUUCAGAGUUGGAAUGGUAUCCUGUAAGAAACAACUCUAUAGAUGAUUUCCUGCAGGUUGAAGUUGCCUUUUUGAAAGAUUUUGUAACAGCUAGGAGACUCCAAAUUUGGAAGGAAGACGGUUUUUUUGCCUUAGCCUUUUUCUAGAUAUAUAAUUGUAUUCAGUAAAGUUAUGUAAAUUCAUGGACAUUCAGCAGAGAAAAAAGACUGUUAUAAUGAUUCUUAAAUUCAGUUUUCAUUUAACUUAUGUAUAGGGUGAUAGCAGUUGAAUCCUUUUCUUUUUUUGUCAUGGACAUUAUUAUUGCACUGUGUAAUGGUUUAGCAUGAAUUGGGCCAGACUUGCAGUGAGGUCCGACAUUGGAACUCAUUUGAGUAAGUCUAGGCCCAGACAAAUGGGCCUAGGCGUCGAACCCUAUAAAGUGACUUCAAUUGUGAAAUUUCUUUUAUAGUAUAAAACAUGUUAUUAUAUCCUGC
rnacentral:lncRNA from 1 species